GACGAACGCUGGCGGCGUGCCUAAUACAUGCAAGUCGAACGAACUCUGGUAUUGAUUGGUGCUUGCAUCAUGAUUUACAUUUGAGUGAGUGGCGAACUGGUGAGUAACACGUGGGAAACCUGCCCAGAAGCGGGGGAUAACACCUGGAAACAGAUGCUAAUACCGCAUAACAACUUGGACCGCAUGGUCCGAGUUUGAAAGAUGGCUUCGGCUAUCACUUUUGGAUGGUCCCGCGGCGUAUUAGCUAGAUGGUGGGGUAACGGCUCACCAUGGCAAUGAUACGUAGCCGACCUGAGAGGGUAAUCGGCCACAUUGGGACUGAGACACGGCCCAAACUCCUACGGGAGGCAGCAGUAGGGAAUCUUCCACAAUGGACGAAAGUCUGAUGGAGCAACGCCGCGUGAGUGAAGAAGGGUUUCGGCUCGUAAAACUCUGUUGUUAAAGAAGAACAUAUCUGAGAGUAACUGUUCAGGUAUUGACGGUAUUUAACCAGAAAGCCACGGCUAACUACGUGCCAGCAGCCGCGGUAAUACGUAGGUGGCAAGCGUUGUCCGGAUUUAUUGGGCGUAAAGCGAGCGCAGGCGGUUUUUUAAGUCUGAUGUGAAAGCCUUCGGCUCAACCGAAGAAGUGCAUCGGAAACUGGGAAACUUGAGUGCAGAAGAGGACAGUGGAACUCCAUGUGUAGCGGUGAAAUGCGUAGAUAUAUGGAAGAACACCAGUGGCGAAGGCGGCUGUCUGGUCUGUAACUGACGCUGAGGCUCGAAAGUAUGGGUAGCAAACAGGAUUAGAUACCCUGGUAGUCCAUACCGUAAACGAUGAAUGCUAAGUGUUGGAGGGUUUCCGCCCUUCAGUGCUGCAGCUAACGCAUUAAGCAUUCCGCCUGGGGAGUACGGCCGCAAGGCUGAAACUCAAAGGAAUUGACGGGGGCCCGCACAAGCGGUGGAGCAUGUGGUUUAAUUCGAAGCUACGCGAAGAACCUUACCAGGUCUUGACAUACUAUGCAAAUCUAAGAGAUUAGACGUUCCCUUCGGGGACAUGGAUACAGGUGGUGCAUGGUUGUCGUCAGCUCGUGUCGUGAGAUGUUGGGUUAAGUCCCGCAACGAGCGCAACCCUUAUUAUCAGUUGCCAGCAUUAAGUUGGGCACUCUGGUGAGACUGCUGGUGACAAACCGGAGGAAGGUGGGGAUGACGUCAAAUCAUCAUGCCCCUUAUGACCUGGGCUACACACGUGCUACAAUGGAUGGUACAACGAGUUGCGAACUCGCGAGAGUAAGCUAAUCUCUUAAAGCCAUUCUCAGUUCGGAUUGUAGGCUGCAACUCGCCUACAUGAAGUCGGAAUCGCUAGUAAUCGCGGAUCAGCAUGCCGCGGUGAAUACGUUCCCGGGCCUUGUACACACCGCCCGUCACACCAUGAGAGUUUGUAACACCCAAAGUCGGUGGGGUAACCUUUUAGGAACCAGCCGCCUAAGGUGGGACAGAUGAUUAGGGUG
rnacentral:rRNA from 2 species